AACGAGUUUCGUCAUCGUGACGUUGGGUCCCAGGAGGUUAGGGAGCUUUGCUUCAUCCCGAGAGGGGAUUGGAACCCCCUUCGCAGGGUUAGCGGUCCUGGGGCUCGGGAGCAACAUGGCGGCGCCCGUGAGGCGCUAGUUUCGGGGGAAAGCAGUGGUGUUUAGGGGAGGACGACUGACCGGAGCGCACUUGAAGGAGACGCGCCCCGACCGCUCGGAGGACCACGCUGCUCCCCGGCCCCGGGCACUGACCGCGAUGAGCAACAUCUACAUCCAGGAGCCUCCCACCAACGGGAAGGUUUUGUUGAAAACGACAGCUGGAGAUAUUGACAUAGAGUUAUGGUCUAAAGAAGCACCUAAAGCUUGCAGAAAUUUUAUUCAGCUUUGUUUGGAAGCUUAUUAUGACAACACCAUUUUUCAUAGAGUAGUACCUGGCUUUAUAGUCCAAGGAGGAGACCCUACCGGCACAGGAACCGGUGGUGAUUCUAUCUAUGGAGCCCCGUUUAAGGAUGAAUUUCACUCUCGGCUGCGUUUUAAUCGGAGAGGACUGGUUGCCAUGGCAAAUGCUGGUCCUCAUGAUAAUGGCAGCCAGUUUUUCUUUACAUUGGGUCGAGCAGAUGAACUUAACAAUAAGCACACCAUCUUUGGAAAGGUGACAGGGGAUACAGUAUAUAACAUGCUCCGAUUGACAGAAGUAGACAUUGAUGAUGAAGAAAGACCACGUAAUCCACACAAAAUAAAAAGUUGUGAGGUUUUAUUUAAUCCUUUUGAUGACAUCAUUCCAAGGGAAAUAAAAAAGCUGAAGAAAGAGAAGCCAGAGGAAGAAGUAAAGAAAUUAAAACCCAAAGGCACAAAAAAUUUUAGUUUACUUUCCUUUGGAGAGGAAGCUGAGGAAGAAGAGGAGGAAGUAAAUCGAGUUAGUCAGAGUAUGAAGGGAAAAAGCAAAAGUAGUCAUGACCUGCUUAAGGAUGACCCACAUCUCAGUUCUGUCCCAGCUGUUGGAAGUGAAAAAGAUGCAGCAGGAGAUUUAGAUGAAGAUGGAGAUGAUGCAAGUACGGAAUACGAUGACUCUAUGGAUGGUGAUGAAAAGAAAUUGAUGAGAGAAAGAAUUGCAAAAAAAUUAAAAAAGGACCCAAGUGCCAAUGUUAAACCAGCUGGUGAAGGAGAAGGGGAGAAGAAAUCAGUGAGUCGCAGUGAAGAGCUCCGUAAAGAAGCAAGACAAAUAAAGAGGGAACUCUUAGCAGCAAAACAAAAAAAAGUUGAAAAUGCAGCAAAACAAGCAGAAAAAAGAAGCGAAGAGGAAGAAGCUGCUCCAGAUAGCGCAGUUGCAGAAUACAGAAGAGAAAAACAAAAGUACGAAGCUUUGAGAAAACAACAGACAAAAAAGGGAACUUCCCGGGAAGAACAGACUCUUGCUCUGCUGAACCAGUUUAAGUCUAAACUCACUCAAGCAAUUGCUGAAACUCCUGAAAAUGAGAUUUCUGAAACAGAGGUAGAAGAUGAUGAAGGAUGGAUGUCACAUGUACUUCAGUUUGAGGACAAAAGCAGAAAAGUGAAAGACGCAAGCAUGCAAGACUCGGACACGUUUGAGAUCUACGACCCUCGGAACCCAGUUACUAAAAGACGACGAGAAGAAAGCAAAAAGCUCCUGCGGGAGAAAAAAGAAAGAAGAUAAGAUAAAUGAUCCUGUAACACAGAAGUCUGAGCAGCCUUGUUCUUCCUUGGCUUUGGCAAUGUUGGACAUUCUAGACAGCAGAAAGGAGAGAAGACUCCUGGCAAUUUUUCCCACAAUAUCUGACAAGACAUUUGUCAACUUGGGCUAACGUUGUUGGUGAGGUACCACUGAGCCAGUUCUUACUCAUCGCUCCCUACGGCCAACAGAAGGAAACACUGCCUGGUCCUGCAUCCGCGGCACAAUUGGUGUUAGGUUUGCACCCAUUGUUGCAGUGAACGAAUUAAAACAGAUUUAAAAUCAAAAGUUGGAAUCCCACAAGGGGUUGCUAUCAAUUUUACAUCACCUAAUUUCAUAAAAAUAGAACAUUUUAACAGUUAAAAGGAAGGAAAGAUACAAUUGCAAUUUAGGGAACAAUCUUAAAAUUGAAUAAAUUUAGCUUUAGAAAAAUCUUACUUGUUUCCUUUUCUCACUUUAAAAUAAGGCACUUCAUCAUAAACAGACCAGGAUCUGUAGCCUACUUUUGGGAACCAUUGGCCUAUUAGAAAAUAGCUCCCUUUUCUAUUUGUCCCUUCAGUGUUUAGUAAUUAUAAAAAGCAAUAUUCCAAUGCCUGAGAAUAGAUAGAGUUGAGGGGUAGGAUUUCCUGUGUAGAAAGCACAGCUGGGAGGCUUCAACCCUGCAAUUGAUUUGAUGGUCACGUGAUAUAACACUGACACCUGUGUUCUUAUCUGUCACAUAGGAACAAGAACAGCUCCCACAUCUGCCUAACGAGGUUCUGUUCCUAUCAAAAGAAACGGUAGCAAAGAAAAGCCACACUUAGACAAAAGUAAAAGCCAUAAGUUGUUGUUAGGUGUCGUCAGAUCAGUUAUGACCCAGAGCAACCUUAUGUACAGCAGAAGGAAGCAUUGCCUGGUCCUGUGCCUGAGCCCAUUGUUGCAGUCAAGGGAUCAACUUAUCUCCUUGAAGGCCUGCCUCUCCUUCGCUGUCCCUCUGUUACCAAACGUGAGGUCCUUCUCCAGGGUCUGGUCUGUCUUGACAACACGUCCAAAGUAUAUAAGACAAAGUCUCACUAUCCUUGCCUAAAACAAGACUCCUUCCAAGAUACACUUGACCUUUUAUCAGACCCUGGUACUUCCAAUAUUCUUCUCCAGCACCAAAAUCCAAAUGCAUCAACUCUUCUUCAGUCAUCUUUAUUCGAUGCCCAACUUUCACAUGCAUGUGAGGCUAUUUAAAACACUCUAUAGCUUGGGUCAAGCCCACCUUAGUCCUCAAAGUAACAUCCUUGCUUUCCAAUAUUCUGAAGAGAUCGUGUGCAGCAAACUUACUCAAUGCCACAUGUCAUUUGAUCUUUUGACUGAUGCUUCCAUGAGCAUUGAUUGUGGAUCCAAGCAAGAUCAAAUC